AGCAAGGGGAGGAAGUGAGGUGGAGCAAUGGCCAAGUAGGGGAUCAAGUAACACCUUGGAAGCUGUGGUCAGAUCGUAGCUGUCAUUGCAAGUGCAAUGGGAGGACAGACACGAGAGAGUUUUGAGCACCUGUUUUACAUUUUAAAUUCCUCAUCUGGCAGCUGUGCGCUUCAGAGACAGCAGGACAAGCAGAGUGGAAGCAAGGGUAGCAGUUUGCCAAUCUGAUGGGUGAAAUACAGUGUUUCAAUUGUUUUCCCUAACUCCUAGUAAGCAAUUGCUGUCCGCUGCACAGCUGCAGGAGCACAGGAAAGCCUACUGAGGUGCUCUGUGAAAGGAUAAUCUGGGAAGCUCAGAAACCUUCAUCUGUUCAUCCUUAAAAUAUGCACAUGGGUUUGCUUGGUUGUCUCCUCUUCCUGAUCAUGCGGGUACAGAGGGUUCUAGAGAGGAACUUCCCACAAAGGGAAGGGAGCUGAGACUCCAGCCCUCUUUCCACAAUAUCUCCAGAAAUGCUGGCAGCCAUGUUCUUACCUUCCCUGGAUAAAAUUGAAGGUGGGGGAAGGACUACAGAGGAGAAAACUGUCCAGAAAAAAAAGUUGAAAGUCCUGGCAGAGAUAAACCACAUGACAGCAAUCUCAUCAACUAAGAAGCAUGAAGUGAAAAAGCAUCCACACACUCCAGCUGCCUCAAGAGUUACAAGAGGAUUUGUGUUAUUUAUUCACUUUUCA
rnacentral:lncRNA from 1 species